AUUGAACGCUGGCGGCAGGCCUAACACAUGCAAGUCGAGCGGAGCGGCGGACGGGUGAGUAAUGCCUAGGAAUCUGCCUGGGAGUGGGGGAUAACGUCGGGAAACGGGCGCUAAUACCGCAUACUAUCAGACGAGCCUAGUGUGGAUUAGCGAGUUGGUGGGGUAAAGGCCUACCAAGGCGACGAACCCUAGCUGGUCUGAGAGGGUGACCAGCCAGACGGUAACUGAGACACGGUCCAGACUCCUACGGGAGGCAGCAGUGGGGAAUAUUGCACAAUGGGCGCAAGCCUGAUGCAGCCAUGCCGCGUGUAUGAAGAAGGCCUUCGGGUUGUAAAGUACUUUCAGCGGGGAGGCGUUACCCGCAGAAGAAGCACCGGCUAACUCCGUGCCAGCCGCCGCGGUAAUUC
rnacentral:rRNA from 1 species